AGCUUGUGACAAAUCCCCAUGGAUUGGCUGCAGGAUCCCCACAUCUCUCCACCCACCCAUGCAGUUUUCUUGAGAAUAAGUUCCUUGAAAGUCUGAAAGCUGAUGCACAGAACUCCUCUGAACUGAACCCCUCCGCCUCCCAACUUAAAAUGGCCAUACAGAGACUUUGAGGCAUGUGCUGGGGACCUGCGAGUCUGCGGCUAACUGGACAAACGGGCCAAAUCUCUCAGCUUCUAUUUGAACCCCGAACUCCAUCUUGGAAUGCCUAAGAGGAUCGGAUGUUUAUGUUGCGUUUUCCAUGAUUGAUUUUGAACAGAGAUUUUUCUUAUUUUAAAAGAAAAAGUGCAACAUUGUUUCAUUGGUGAACUACAUUGCAAAAUUUGAAUAAGUGUGAAUUUUGAAGGAUGUCUGUGUUUUGGUUCUCUUAUUGUUCCAGAAAGUGUGAAUUUGAUAGAUUCAGCUUGAAAUGCAAACUGAAUCUAAUUUCUCUCCCAUCCCUAAUCUGAGCACACUCACUUUUGUCGUAUCCACCACUAGUAUGCAGCCCCUGGAAAGGUUGACCAUGAGAGGAUGUGGCCCUCGAACUGAAAAAGGUUCCCCACCCCUGCUAAAGGAAGUUCUUCCAGGUCCCCAGUUUGGCUUGGGUUCACCAUAGGCUCCCAGACAUGUUCCUCUGAGGAGAUCUCCCCAGGUUCCUGGUUGGGCAGGAGCCUGAAACUUUGGGGAUGGAUGGCAGACGAUCUGGGAUGCUGAAAAGGAGCAUGCCACACUGAAACAUUUUGCAGAUUAAAUAAACAAAUAUCAAAAGCCCUUUUCCUCCCUUUUUCUCCCUCACUAUUGAAGCAAAGUAGAAGAUGAACAUUUAAUGUAAUGCAUGCAAAUACA